UUAAGCGACUAAGCGUACACGGUGGAUGCCCUGGCAGUCAGAGGCGAUGAAGGACGUGCUAAUCUGCGAUAAGCGUCGGUAAGGUGAUAUGAACCGUUAUAACCGGCGAUUUCCGAAUGGGGAAACCCAGUGUGUUUCGACACACUAUCAUUAACUGAAUCCAUAGGUUAAUGAGGCGAACCGGGGGAACUGAAACAUCUAAGUACCCCGAGGAAAAGAAAUCAACCGAGAUUCCCCCAGUAGCGGCGAGCGAACGGGGAGCAGCCCAGAGCCUGAAUCAGUGUGUGUGUUAGUGGAAGCGUCUGGAAAGGCGCGCGAUACAGGGUGACAGCCCCGUACACAAAAAUGCACAUGCUGUGAGCUCGAUGAGUAGGGCGGGACACGUGGUAUCCUGUCUGAAUAUGGGGGGACCAUCCUCCAAGGCUAAAUACUCCUGACUGACCGAUAGUGAACCAGUACCGUGAGGGAAAGGCGAAAAGAACCCCGGCGAGGGGAGUGAAAAAGAACCUGAAACCGUGUACGUACAAGCAGUGGGAGCACGCUUAGGCGUGUGACUGCGUACCUUUUGUAUAAUGGGUCAGCGACUUAUAUUCUGUAGCAAGGUUAACCGAAUAGGGGAGCCGAAGGGAAACCGAGUCUUAACUGGGCGUUAAGUUGCAGGGUAUAGACCCGAAACCCGGUGAUCUAGCCAUGGGCAGGUUGAAGGUUGGGUAACACUAACUGGAGGACCGAACCGACUAAUGUUGAAAAAUUAGCGGAUGACUUGUGGCUGGGGGUGAAAGGCCAAUCAAACCGGGAGAUAGCUGGUUCUCCCCGAAAGCUAUUUAGGUAGCGCCUCGUGAAUUCAUCUCCGGGGGUAGAGCACUGUUUCGGCAAGGGGGUCAUCCCGACUUACCAACCCGAUGCAAACUGCGAAUACCGGAGAAUGUUAUCACGGGAGACACACGGCGGGUGCUAACGUCCGUCGUGAAGAGGGAAACAACCCAGACCGCCAGCUAAGGUCCCAAAGUCAUGGUUAAGUGGGAAACGAUGUGGGAAGGCCCAGACAGCCAGGAUGUUGGCUUAGAAGCAGCCAUCAUUUAAAGAAAGCGUAAUAGCUCACUGGUCGAGUCGGCCUGCGCGGAAGAUGUAACGGGGCUAAACCAUGCACCGAAGCUGCGGCAGCGACGCUGAUGCGUUGUUGGGUAGGGGAGCGUUCUGUAAGCCUGUGAAGGUGUGCUGUGAGGCAUGCUGGAGGUAUCAGAAGUGCGAAUGCUGACAUAAGUAACGAUAAAGCGGGUGAAAAGCCCGCUCGCCGGAAGACCAAGGGUUCCUGUCCAACGUUAAUCGGGGCAGGGUGAGUCGACCCCUAAGGCGAGGCCGAAAGGCGUAGUCGAUGGGAAACAGGUUAAUAUUCCUGUACUUGGUGUUACUGCGAAGGGGGGACGGAGAAGGCUAUGUUGGCCGGGCGACGGUUGUCCCGGUUUAAGCGUGUAGGCUGGUUUUCCAGGCAAAUCCGGAAAAUCAAGGCUGAGGCGUGAUGACGAGGCACUACGGUGCUGAAGCAACAAAUGCCCUGCUUCCAGGAAAAGCCUCUAAGCAUCAGGUAACAUCAAAUCGUACCCCAAACCGACACAGGUGGUCAGGUAGAGAAUACCAAGGCGCUUGAGAGAACUCGGGUGAAGGAACUAGGCAAAAUGGUGCCGUAACUUCGGGAGAAGGCACGCUGAUAUGUAGGUGAAGUCCCUCGCGGAUGGAGCUGAAAUCAGUCGAAGAUACCAGCUGGCUGCAACUGUUUAUUAAAAACACAGCACUGUGCAAACACGAAAGUGGACGUAUACGGUGUGACGCCUGCCCGGUGCCGGAAGGUUAAUUGAUGGGGUUAGCGCAAGCGAAGCUCUUGAUCGAAGCCCCGGUAAACGGCGGCCGUAACUAUAACGGUCCUAAGGUAGCGAAAUUCCUUGUCGGGUAAGUUCCGACCUGCACGAAUGGCGUAAUGAUGGCCAGGCUGUCUCCACCCGAGACUCAGUGAAAUUGAACUCGCUGUGAAGAUGCAGUGUACCCGCGGCAAGACGGAAAGACCCCGUGAACCUUUACUAUAGCUUGACACUGAACAUUGAGCCUUGAUGUGUAGGAUAGGUGGGAGGCUUUGAAGUGUGGACGCCAGUCUGCAUGGAGCCGACCUUGAAAUACCACCCUUUAAUGUUUGAUGUUCUAACGUUGACCCGUGAUCCGGGUUGCGGACAGUGUCUGGUGGGUAGUUUGACUGGGGCGGUCUCCUCCUAAAGAGUAACGGAGGAGCACGAAGGUUGGCUAAUCCUGGUCGGACAUCAGGAGGUUAGUGCAAUGGCAUAAGCCAGCUUGACUGCGAGCGUGACGGCGCGAGCAGGUGCGAAAGCAGGUCAUAGUGAUCCGGUGGUUCUGAAUGGAAGGGCCAUCGCUCAACGGAUAAAAGGUACUCCGGGGAUAACAGGCUGAUACCGCCCAAGAGUUCAUAUCGACGGCGGUGUUUGGCACCUCGAUGUCGGCUCAUCACAUCCUGGGGCUGAAGUAGGUCCCAAGGGUAUGGCUGUUCGCCAUUUAAAGUGGUACGCGAGCUGGGUUUAGAACGUCGUGAGACAGUUCGGUCCCUAUCUGCCGUGGGCGCUGGAGAACUGAGGGGGGCUGCUCCUAGUACGAGAGGACCGGAGUGGACGCAUCACUGGUGUUCGGGUUGUCAUGCCAAUGGCACUGCCCGGUAGCUAAAUGCGGAAGAGAUAAGUGCUGAAAGCAUCUAAGCACGAAACUUGCCCCGAGAUGAGUUCUCCCUGACUCCUUGAGAGUCCUGAAGGAACGUUGAAGACGACGACGUUGAUAGGCCGGGUGUGUAAGCGCAGCGAUGCGUUGAGCUAACCGGUACUAAUGAACCGUGAGGCUUAACCU
rnacentral:rRNA from 1 species